GACGAACGCUGGCGGCGUGCCUAAUACAUGCAAGUCGAACGCUUCUUUCCUCCCGAGUGCUUGCACUCAAUUGGAAAGAGGAGUGGCGGACGGGUGAGUAACACGUGGGUAACCUACCCAUCAGAGGGGGAUAACACUCGGAAACAGGUGCUAAUACCGCAUAACAGUUUAUGCCGCAUGGCAUAAGAGUGAAAGGCGCUCUCGGGUGUCGCUGAUGGAUGGACCGGCGGUGCAUUAGCUGGUAGGCGAGGGAACGGCUCACGAAGGCGACGAUGCAUAGCCGACCAGAGCGGGUGAUCGCCCAGACUAGGACGGUGACGCGGCCCAAGCUCCGAGGGGAGGCAACAGUCGGGACUCUUCGGCAAUAGACGAAAGUCUUACCGAGCCACGCCACGUGAGUGAAGAAGGUUUACGGAUCGUAAAUCUCUUUUGUGAGAGAAGAACAAGGACGUUAGUAACUGAACAGCCCCUGACGGUAACUAACCAAGAAGCCACGGCUAACUACGUG
rnacentral:rRNA from 1 species